GGAUGAACGCUGGCGGCGUGCCUAAUACAUGCAAGUCGAGCGAACGGACGGGAAGCUUGCUUCUCUGAUGUUAGCGGCGGACGGGUGAGUAACACGUGGAUAACCUACCUAUAAGACUGGGAUAACUUCGGGAAACCGUAGCUAAUACCGGAUAAUAUUUUGAACCGCAUGGUUCAAAAGUGAAAGACGGUCUUGCUGUCACUUAUAGAUGGAUCCGCGCUGCAUUAGCUAGUUGGUAAGGUAACGGCUUACCAAGGCAACGAUGCAUAGCCGACCUGAGAGGGUGAUCGGCCACACUGGAACUGAGACACGGUCCAGACUCCUACGGGAGGCAGCAGUAGGGAAUCUUCCGCAAUGGGCGAAAGCCUGACGGAGCAACGCCGCGUGAGUGAUGAAGGUCUUCGGAUCGUAAAACUCUGUUAUUAGGGAAGAACAUAUGUGUAAGUAACUGUGCACAUCUUGACGGUACCUAAUCAGAAAGCCACGGCUAACUACGUG
rnacentral:rRNA from 1 species